rnacentral:tRNA from 1 species
ACUUAAAUAAUUUAAAUAAAAUAUUGAUUUGUGGUGUCAAAAAUAUGGAUGAUUCCAUUUUAGGUU